rnacentral:rRNA from 1 species
AUUAAACGCUGGCGGCAUGCCUUACACAUGCAAGUCGAACGGCAGCACGGGGCAACCUGGUGGCGAGUGGCGAACGGGUGAGUAAAGCAUCGGAACGUGCCCUGGAGUGGGGGGAUAACGUAGCGAAAGUUACGCUAAUACCGCAUAUUCUGUGAGCAGGAAAGCAGGGGAUCGCAAGACCUUGCGCUCUGGGAGCGGCCGAUGUCGGAUUAGCUAGUUGGUGGGGUAAAGGCCUACCAAGGCGACGAUCCGUAGCGGGUCUGAGAGGAUGAUCCGCCACACUGGGACUGAGACACGGCCCAGACUCCUACGGGAGGCAGCAGUGGGGAAUUUUGGACAAUGGGCGGAAGCCUGAUCCAGCCAUGCCGCGUGAGUGAAGAAGGCCU